CAUCUACUCCCUCCGUCCCAAAAUUCUUGUCUUAGAUUUGUUUAAAUACGGAUGUAUCAAGUCAUAUUUUAGUAUUAGAUACAUCCGUAUCUAGACAAAUGUAAGACAAGAAUUUUGGGACGGAGGUAGUAUUUU
rnacentral:pre_miRNA from 1 species